rnacentral:tRNA from 1 species
GGUAUAGCUCAGUGGUGGAGCACAAGCUUAGCAUGCAUGAAGUCCUGGGUUCAAUCCCCAGAACUUCCA